AUUGAACGCUGGCGGCAGGCCUAACACAUGCCAGUCGAGCGGAUGAAGGGAGCUUGCUCCUGGAUUCAGCGGCGGACGGGUGAGUAAUGCCUAGGAAUCUGCCUGGUAGUGGGGGAUAACGUCCGGAAACGGGCGCUAAUACCGCAUACGUCCUGAGGGAGAAAGUGGGGGAUCUUCGGACCUCACGCUAUCAGAUGAGCCUAGGUCGGAUUAGCUAGUUGGUGGGGUAAAGGCCUACCAAGGCGACAAUCCGUAACUGGUCUGAGAGGAUGAUCAGUCACACUGGAACUGAGACACGGUCCAGACUCCUACGGGAGGCAGCAGUGGGGAAUAUUGGACAAUGGGCGAAAGCCUGAUCCAGCCAUGCCGCGUGUGUGAAGAAGGUCUUCGGAUUGUAAAGCACUUUAAGUUGGGAGGAAGGGCAGUAAGUUAAUACCUUGCUGUUUUGACGUUACCAACAGAAUAAGCACCGGCUAACUUCGUG
rnacentral:rRNA from 1 species